UGGAGCAACGCCGCGUGAGUGAAGAAGGCUUUCGGGUCGUAAAACUCUGUUGUUGGAGAAGAAUGGUCGGCAGAGUAACUGUUGUCGGCGUGACGGUAUCCAACCAGAAAGCCACGGCUAACUACGUGCCAGCAGCCGCGGUAAUACGUAGGUGGCAAGCGUUAUCCGGAUUUAUUGGGCGUAAAGCGAGCGCAGGCGGUUUUUUAAGUCUGAUGUGAAAGCCCUCGGCUUAACCGAGGAAGUGCAUCGGAAACUGGGAAACUUGAGUGCAGAAGAGGACAGUGGAACUCCAUGUGUAGCGGUGAAAUGCGUAGAUAUAUGGAAGAACACCAGUGGCGAAGGCGGCUGUCUGGUCUGUAACUGACGCUGAGGCUCGAAAGCAUGGGUAGCGAACAGGAUUAGAUACCCUGGUAGUCCAUGCCGUAAACGGUGAAUGCUAGGUGUUGGAGGGUUUCCGCCCUUCAGUGCUGCAGCUAACGCAUGAAGCAUUCCGCCUGGGGAGUACGACCGCAAGGUCGAAACUCAAAGGAAUUGACGGGGGCCCGCACAAGCGGUGGAGCAUGUGGUUUAAUUCGAAGCAACGCGAAGAACCUACCAGGUCUUGACAUCUUU
rnacentral:rRNA from 2 species